rnacentral:lncRNA from 1 species
GAUACUUCUAAGAAUUGAAGUACUGCAACUGGGGCGUGCCUCACCACCUCAUCAACCAGCAUGUGCCCCAUGUGGCGCCCCAGUCACUACCGCUGGUGGUGCCGCUGCCGCCACCAAUGGUGCCGCCAAUGGAACUCCACUACGCUGCCUGCGCCUACACCAACAAUAGAAUAGGGCGAGGGCGAGAACGAUGAGAGCAGUCGCAAAUGAAAAGGCCAUUGCCGUGAUGGCCAACACCUUAUACUUGUGGUAAUUUGUUUCCGCCCUAUACCGUGGGGGACGAACGGCAUUUUGAAUAUCAAUUAAAAGCCUUGACAACAUAUGCAGGAGAGAAAAUAAAAUAUGGGGUGUUUGAGAGCAAGACAAACAAACACCACACAAUGCAUUCUUGGGACACAGAAUAUAAAAUAGUCGAUUAUAGCCUAAAACAAAUAGAGCUUGAAAAGAUAGGCAACAGAUUCUGAUAAAAAAAUGAUUGUUUUUUAUUUUAUUCCCGGGAAUCGAUUCUGAGUAAAAAAACGCAUUUGAUAACGAAUAAAAUUUCUGAUUCUAGAAUAUAAAAAAUAACAUAAAUGCGUUUUGUAACGAAUAACUGUAUAAAAUUUCUAUUCCAAUUCUUUUUUAAUUACCUUUUUAGAUUAAUGUAAAUUUGAUAUUGAAUUUUCAUAUACCAUUCACUGAUUAAUUAUAUUUUUAUACUAAGUAAUAAAAAGGGAACUUUCCUACCAUACAAGUGAACACGCAAGCUCUGAUUGAUCUUUGGUCAUGGUAGUUCACUCCAUAUAAUCGACCAAAAUAUUUAUCGAACAACAGCUGACAACAACUUAGAUACAUGAAUGAACUACGAAAGAGCUUCAAAACAAUUGAGAGUGCUCGACAUUGCAAGAAUAUAUCCAAAUUCAUUACGAUUAAACCAGCAACAAAUAUAGGCACAACUACCUUAUUGGCUUCAUAAUCGCUGCGUGAAAUCGCCACGCCGAGCAACUACCUCAUGGACUAUCGAACGCCGCCGUACGACUGCCGCACGACUGCCGCACUCAAAACCAAGCUGAACACUCCAUUUCAACAGAGCCAAGCCCGUCCCCCUCGUCCACAACGCCUCGCGGAAGAUGAAUCGGUAGACAAAAGAUUAAAAAAAUAUAUAAAAGAGGCGAAACGGCGAGAAGAAAUAAAGGCAACGCACCUGCAGCGGCAGCGGAGGCGGGAAAGGAGAAUCGACCGGCGAGCUCGAGCGAGCGGAGGAGAAGAUGGAGAGAGAUUACCGCCGACUCGAUGGGAUAUGGAAGAUUUCAGCUAUAAUCCGAGCUCGAGAUCGUCCAAUUUCCCAAUCCCACAAAAAGCUCUAAUUCUCUCGACUUCCCCUUCUUAUAUGUGCCGCGGAGGCGCGGUGGUGGGUCGGAAAUUUCCCGCCUUUUAGCGGCGUGCCAUGUGCAAAGUGAGACUAUACUAACCCCAACCACAGCCAUGAUCACUUACAAGUCGCAGCACUUCUAGGUUGGACUGACAGAACACUACCAAAACUACCGAAUGAAAACUAAAGGUAAAUCCAUGUUAUUGCUCUACAUAAAAGAAACACGAGACAAAGCAAUCCAACACAGAGCAAUCCAAAAGAGAGAGCGACAGAUCGUGCGCGAGACAGAGCAAUCAAGAGAGAGAAAGAGAGAGAGAAAGAGAACCUAAUCUGGCUAGCUCGAUCUAGAAAGAAAACCAUCGAUCGAGCGAGCAGACGUCCGAUCUCCGAGAAAGAACCAAAUCCUCACGAUCUCCAACCGUCGGCGCUCGAUCUCCGAUCUCACGCCAAUGGAGGAAAACCUUCGCCUUCGACUAAAGCUCGGGAAAGAAAAGCGAAAACCGAGAGAUCCAGAGAGGGAGCUCUGAGAGAGAAUCGAGAACUGAGAGUCUCUUUGCUCGAGCAAGCUAACCUCCGAUCUCCAGAAAGAUAGACAUAUCUGCUGUCGCCGUCAUCGUCGAUGUCGCCGAUCAAAGAGCCGAACCCGCUCAAGAGCCACCGAGAGAGAAAAACGAAGAACCAGAGAGAUCAAGCGAGAGCCCCCUCGUGUGGACGAACACCGGUGGAGGUUAUCACUGCUGAGAAGAGAGUGAGAUCCGGCGAUUUAGGGUUUACUCCCAUCUCCCAUCGAAGAGCUCAUCGAGCAAUUACAAAGAGAUAGAGAGAGAAUCCCCGAGAGAGUACGUGAGUCUAGAGGUUUCAAGAGCGCUCGUGAGAGAGAAUUCGCGCGCGAAAAAAUCCGAGCCCCCUCUACGCCAAAAAAUGAGCGAGCCUUUAUAUAUUUUUUUUCAACGUUUUUUUUUCCUUUUUUUUCUUUUUCUUUUCUUUUUGGUUCCUUUUUUUUCUCUUCAUUCAUUCUUCCUUCUUUUUCUUCUUUUUUUUUUUUUUCUUUCUUCUCUCUUUUUUUUUUUUGUUUUUCCUUAUUUCUAUUUUUUUAUCAUUUCAUUUCAAACAUUUUUUUUUUUUGCAAAUUAUUUGUUUAAAAUGUCAACAAAAAAUUUCAGGUGUCAACAAGAUCUCCAGAAACUGGAAGCAGUUGAAGGCCUUUUGCUUGUCGUAAAAUGGCAUCAAGAAUUGCCUUCUCAGGUUUUAGUGAACCCACCCGAGCAAUUAGAAUGCAUCAAUAUUUUCUAACCCUUUUCUCGGUUUGAAUUGCAGGUUCAUGGGAGACAUUCAAAUGACCACACGCUACCCGCCUUACUGUGACCACGGUGAGCGCUAUCCUAUGGCGGUAUUGGCUGUGAUCAUAGGAGUUGUCGUCCUAGUCAUUGGCAGCUUCAUUUUUUGGUGGAUGUUCAAAUGUGGUAGUUGGUCUCUCGUAGCAGCGCCAGUGGUGCUAGCAGAGGCACCUGCUGAGGCACCGGGGGAGGCGCCUGAGGAGGUAGGUGGAGCUCGUGGACAUGGCAUUCACUUUAGGAGCGUCAUCCCCGGAGUCUAGUUAGGUUAUUUGGAAGAUUCGCUUGUGCAAAUUGGGUGGUCCUAGACCGCAAUCUUGCAAUGGCAGUCGACGGUGACGGUCGGCAGUCGUGCGGUAGUCGUGUGGCGAUCGUGCAGCGGUCGUGCGACGAUCGUGCGGCGGUCGUGCGGCGGCAGUUGACGGUCCGUGAGUAAGAAAAAAACAAAUAAAUACAAAAAUUUAUAAAUUUUUACCAAACACAUUUUUAUUCUUUUUCUAUUCCAAGAAUAGAAAUUUUGUAUAAUUACCAAACACCUUAUUUUACUCAGAAAUUGUUCCUGGAAGUGUGAACAGAGAUGAAUGAAUAUUUCCCUUCAGUAAAUUGAAUCACAGAUCAAGAAAAAUAAGAUUCGAGAGAUAUUCCCAUUGGGUUGAAUCAAUCUGACUAGUCAGAUUAUUGUGCGACGAAGUGAUUUUUGUCAGACUCUUGGAUUUGCUGAGUGAUGGAAUUGAACCAGUAAAACUGUUGAAUGAGAGGUCCAAAUAAGUUUGCGAAAGAUUGGUGAAAGAGCUUGGGAUAAUUCCGUCAAAGUUGCAAUUCAUCAAUUCUACUCUUGAUAGAUUUCUGAGAUUACCAAUUGAUUCUGGGAGCCUUCCAGAAAUAUUUGUGAAACUAAGAACUAGUGUCCGAAGAGAACCAUUCUCUGGAAAUUCGGGCAAAGAACCCUAAAGGAGUUUGUUGAAUGAUAGGUCAAGGGUCUAAAGUGUUUGUACCUGGAAGAUUUUAUCAGGGAAUACUCCCUGUAGACCACAAGAAUUGAGAUGCAUAAUAGUUAAAUUGGAGAAGCGGGCAAAGAACUCUAGGACGGUGGUAGACAGAUUAUUGUCGUCCAGUUUAAUCACCGACAGAGAAGGAAUAUUCAUGAGGGAAGAGCAAGAUUCAAUGGGACCUGAUAGAUAACAAUUCUGCUCAAUACUUGAAGCUUCGGCAGUGAAGAAGACAAGGCAUUGCACAAUUCAUUGCCUGUAGCAGACACGAUCACUCCGUCAAGGUACAACUCUCAGCUCUCUAAGAUUCCCAACAAGCAUCUUCAAAUUCGGAUUCUCGAGUUUCAGUGAAGUGAGCCAAGGAAAAUAAUGCAUGGAUACAUCAAGAGUAACCAACCUUGUCAAAUGUGAUAUUCCCAUGAGAACCUGUCCUGUGAAGCCCGCAUUUGAAAGAUUCAGGUACACCAAAUUGGUGAGAUUACUGAACCCAUAUGGGAUCUGUCGCGACCCGAUCUCGCCGCCCCUCGAAAUGGCCAAGGAGGGGAAAGGUCGGGUUUAGGGGUACUUGAUCUCAAGAUCGCGAGCUCUCCCAAGCUCGUACCCCGCGUGACAGUAGGUUUAUUAUGCAAUCUAGUUGUUUAUAACAACCUAAAAUAUAUAGGAGUUGCCACUAGCCUAAUUUUGGGGUCGGCUAGAAACUCAAUCGAGGGUCGGGAGUGUUCCUCGAUUCCUACGUAACCAGAUAUCUAGGUUCGAGAACUUGGGUUACGCUAAUAUUGCUAUUAGCGCCCUUUCGGUACCUAAACAAUAUGUUGUGUUUUUUCCUAACAUGUUCAUCCAUCUCUUUUUAUAUUUUCAGAAUCGUCAAUUCUAUAUUAAAUGAUCAUACAUGGUGGAUUACUUUCCUUCUAUUCUAUUCCUAAAAAAAAGAAAGAAAAACAAUCAAUGAAAAUUAAAUUGCAAGACAUGAAGUAAACAAUCAAGAUAAAACAGUAAACCUAAUCAUGCAAUUCUAAAGAAUAUAAAAGAGAAAACAAUCGAAAAAGAAAUGAAACCCGCAACUCGUCGGGCUUUAUACAAUGCAUGAAACCCGAGACAUAUGUCGGGAAAACGAAUAUUACAUGACAAUGGUCGGAAUGGGCAUCGACCUUCACCAUCUUCACGCUUUAUCCAUGUUCAGGAUCCCUAUUCUAAACCUAGUCUAAGAAAUAAGAAUCCCUUGCCUCAUCUUAUAUGACUAAGACAACGCAUAGAAAUCAUUAUUACAACGAACGGACAUAGGCAUCAGACAUGAACAUGAAUCCAGCAAAAUCAAAUCACAAAUAGGACAAAAUACAAGGCAUGUUUAAAGGUUCGUAAGAUCACCUAGACAAUAUACAAAAAUGUGAAACUUGCACAUGACAUAAGGUUGAAUGCGAAAAAGGUUUGGGUAAACAUUUAACCCUAAAUCAUAAUGCAAAGAAGUCACACAAGUCAUUAACAUUGCAAAGUGACUUGGAACUGAGAAUGUCAUGCUUGACAAAUUCUAAUUGCAAUUAGCCAAAUGAGUGCAUGAUAUUCACAUCAAAAGAGAUUCAAAUAUGAUAUGCCAUGCAUUAAUGCGAAACUUGUAACACGUGUUUCGAAUGUCAAGAAGACAACGAGGCACAAGUUUCAUGCAUACAACUUCGUCAAAAAUGCAGCAAAAUAUCAGGAUGUCAUAACACAUUAAUAGUGAUUUGAUCUAAAAAGAAAAUCUGAAGAAUAUGAAAUUUUACCACAGCGCGAAUAAAGAAAGGCGAACAACAUUUGUUAAAGACCCAAUCUUAGAAUCCUUAACAAGAAAAUCAUAGAAGACUGACAAGAGGUUAGCUUCGACAAGGGAACAACAGGGGUUCUGAAUUUCAUUUUAUGACAGAUUUCUAUCAUGCGCAUCACCAGAGAAGUUGAGUCCAAUUGAUGUGCAAAUCAUGCAAAAUCAGCAUCAUAAGAAAGUGACAGACAAUCAGGCCCACAAUAACAGUAUAUGCAUUUCUGACCAAGGCAAAUUCCAGAUUUCAGAAUGGAUUAGAAAAAAUGUUAAACAUAGCAAACGAUGGUCGAUUCAGGCAUGCGAUAUAUCAUUUUAAAGCUUGAUAUGUCUAUUACAAAUCUCUAGAAGACAUUAAGUCCUAAUAAUAUCAUUUACCAGCUCGUUCCAAGGACCGAAGCAUAUCAGUCAAAACAUGCAUACGAAUUUCCACAUCAGAACAGAACACAACAAUUUUCCAGAAUUACUUCCUAGCUUUUAAAGAAAAUUCAUGUGGCUAAUGAUAUCGGAUCAGGGUGUAUUAUAAUUCGUUGGAAAGCUAGUCGAACCAUCUUCAGCUCUCAUGAAGGCUUCAAACACAGAGAACCACAGCAACCAGCUCGUAUCAGGUCAUUUACACAAAAGGUCAUCCGAAACAGAGAAUCAAUCAGAACAGCAAAAAUUUCAAACAAGGUCAGGGAUAUUCUAGACAUACUCGACCUGGGUAAAUGAUCUUCAAUUAUCACGAAAUUUUUAUUUGAUAUAGAUUGGAACCUAAUGAACAACUUUCAUUUAGGCAUCAACUUUAGAAUCUAAUCACAAAAAAUCAUGUGAAAAUGGCAAACAGCACAGGUCAUUAAAGGCAUGAAAACAGAACACUUAAUCAUUUACAAACUGUAGCUCCGUUUUUAACAAUUGUUGAAUCUAGUAAAUGCUGACCAAAUCCAAGAACUCUCGGCAUCUAUUACGAAAUAUUAAGAAAGAAGCAAAAUCUACCCAAACAUGCCCGCAUGCUGACACAAUCACAAUGUCUACAGAUUGAAAUUAGCAGAACUUCAUCAAAAGAACACAUUACAAAGUGCACAUUUUUGUACCAUAUGAGGAGGUAGACAAAAGGACUACAACAACAUAACCCAUAUAGAACAGAGCAGCAAAACAGCAAAACAGAACCAAUCUAAGACAGAAUUCAUCUAAUCUAUACUUAAUCCACAACUUCCAGCAUGCAAUCGAAAUGGUAACAUAGCAUAUGAGACUACAAAUUGUGAUUGUUUGAUGACAAAUUGCCAUGAAAUUGAAGCCAUAUUUUCUCACAAGCAUGAAUGAGUCUAUUUGAUCAAAAUGGCAUCAAUCCAUAACCAAACCACCCUCAAGUUGGAAUCAAAUCCACACCGAAUCAUGGGAUAUCAAAACAUGGUCAGCAUCUGGUAUAUGUAAUCUCGUAACUACUACAAUUGCAAAAAAAAAAAAAAAAACCAAGAACAGCCGACAGCAAUCCCAACAUAUCAUUUGCUUUAAAAGCUUUCAAACAUAAUAUGAAUGGCAGCUUAAAUCAAAGGUUAUGAUCAUUAAACUCUGCUGCCAGAAUAUCUACACCAAAAAAAGUCAGAUGCAAAGGAACCAGCAACCUUUUUCUGUUUACCUGCAUAUGUCACAUAGAAAACUAUGUAUGCCAACUGAAAAAUUGCACCCGUGGAGUUCACCAUCAUGACCAGCAUGUUGUCACUCGAUAUUACCGGCGUGCCAUGUGCAAAGCGAGACUAUACUAACCCCAACCACAGCCAUGAUCACUUACAAGUCGCAGCACUUCUAGGUUGGACUGACAGAACACUACCGAAACUACCGAAUGAAAACUAAAGGUAAAUCCAUGUUAUUGCUCUACAUAAAAGAAACACGAGACAAAGCAAUCGAACCACAGAGCAAUCCAAAAGAGAGAGCGACAGAUCGUGCACGAGACAGAGCAAUCAAGAGAGAGAAAGAGAGAGAAAGAGAACCUGAUCCGGCUAGCCCGAUCUAGAAAGAAAACCACCGAUCGAGCGAGCAGACGUCCGAUCUCCGAGAAAGAACCAAAUCCUCACGAUCUCCAACCGCCGGCGCUCGAUCUCCGAUUGCACGCCAAUGGAGGAAAACCUUCGCCUUCGACCAGAGCUCGGGAAAGAAAAGCAAAAACCGAGAGAUCCAGAGAGGGAGCUCUGAGAGAGAAUCGAGAACUGAGAGUCUCUCUGCUCGAGCAAGCUAACCUCCGAUCUCUAGAAAGAGAGACAGAUCUGCUGUCGCCGUCGUCGUCGAUGUCGCCGAUCAGAGAGCCGAACCUGCUCGAGAGCCACCAAGAGAGAAAAACGAAGAACCAGAGAGAUCA